CGCUAAGUAUCUGAGUGUGUCACAGAGCUAGUAAAAGGCAGAGCUGGGAUCAGAUACAUUGAUUCAUUCACUCAAAAACCUUUUUUUAUCGAGUGCAUACUAUGUAUCAGCCUCUGGGUACUGAGCAUGGGAGCAGAAUCAGACACCCCGAACUGACAGGGCUCACAGACGAGAAGGGGAGACAGUUCUCAAUCAUAGAAAUCACUUGUUCUCACAAACGGUGACACGUGCUAUGAAGAAAAAGGCCUGAGAACUAGGAGGGCAUCUAGAGGCGCCCUUUCUGGUCUAGGCGUCCUACAGGCAGCUGGAGGAAGACGUCUGAGCUGACAUCAGAUUCAUGGGGUGGACUCCUAGGAGCGGGAUGGCUGGGUGAAGGAUAUGAACUCUGUUAAGGGUUUUGAUGCAUAUUGCCAAACCACUUUCCAAAAAGCCCGUGAUGAUUCCUCCCCGAUCGGCAGCUCACAGGUGCACCUUUCCCCACGCAGGAGGACUUCUCACCUAACUUUACUCAGGCGUUAACAUCUGAGCUUUUUCUGACUCAAUUCCUGUUAAAUGUCUAUAACUGCGGGGGAGUCUUCCAGUUCUACAGAUGCAUGGAAUCUGCGUUGUGUGGUGAGGAGAGGCAGCUGAUGGACCCACCCUGCCUGGAAGAACAGCACCGUGGGGAAGCGCAAAGGGCUGGGCGCCAGUGACCCCUCCACAGACUAUUUUGGAAGAAAUAUGGGUCCAAAUGAACUGCCCUGUGACAACUGAAGUGCCAGCUUCUAGGACAGCCUCAAAAGGGAAAUCGAGUUGUCACCACUCUUCUCCCUUUCACCAGCAAAGUUCUCAGAAGGGGGCACCGUUUCUUCCUCGAGCUCCUGGUCUGUGUUUUGAACUCAGCGUCAAGGUUGGCCCCAGUGCACCUGACACAGGCACCCCCUCAUUGUCCCCCGACCUCACGGCAGUGCAUUUACCGACCUCCAGGCCCUGGCAGUGCCUUCUUUGUCUCUUCCUCUUUUGCUUCUCCUUCAGUGUGGGCACUCCCAGAAGUUCUGUCCUUUGUUCUUUCCCCUUUAGGCAUCGUCCUUCAGAGAUCCUGUCCACCUCUGGGUCCGCGUCUCUUUGUGAUCAACUCCAGCCUCUUCCCUCCUUCCCAUGAGCUCUGCAUUGCACCUGGGUCCACCUGGACCCCAGCCACGGUGAGCAGCUGGACUGAGGACGGGCCACACCCUGGGCCUGCUCCUGACCAUGCUCCUUCCAUUUGUGGGAUAUUUCAUCACCCCAAACUCAAAACCCCAGAAUAACCCGUGCACUUCUCCCUUGUCUGCUGUCCCAAAUCCCUUUGUUCUUCCAUCCUAGCACCUCCUCCAGUGGCCCUUCCUUUCAGUUUCUGCCACCGGCUCCCUGGGCUGUCCCCUGCACUCUCUGGGCAGGCUGGCCCCCACUCAGCCUAUCUUGAACACAACUGCUCAGACUCAUGCUUUAAAGCCCCCUCUUGAAGUCACUCACCUAAUUGAAAGCCACCUGUGAGUUCCUGCUUAAGCAAAGUUGCGAGGCCUUCCAUGAAGGGCUUUGAGCAGCGGGCCUGCCCCAUUGCCUGGCCACCCCUUACUCUGCAGCCAGCCUGUGGGGGGCUGCUCACUGUUCUUCCCACAUGCCCAGUGGUUCCCUUCCUCGGUGACUUCACUUCUUUCAUCCCUGACAAUAAAAUGCCUUCUUUUUCUCUAUCUGUUCCCCAACUCCAAUUUAAAGUCCCUGCACAAUAUUUUCCCAGGUCACCGUGGCUGAACUCGAUUCUUUGUCCUCUGUACCCUGUGGAACUUAGUCUGUGUCCCUCCCGCCACGUCGCCUGAUGCUGUAUGUGGGAGCCGUCUUCCUGGUGGACAGUGAGCUCCCUGGGCAGGCACUGAGUGUCCCUAUGGUAUCCCUUGUAGGGUACACCUUGAGGAUACACCUCACCCACUGUAGGUAUCCAAGUAACAUUUGAUCCAGUGAAUAAGUAUGAAUGAAUGAAGGAUAUUGUUAAGUAUGAAUGAACGAAGGAUAUUGUUUUCCCCGUUUCUGGAGAAAAAAAUCCACAAAAGCCUGUUUGUCUUGGUGUUGCUUUUUUUGUACCCUUUAACCCAUUCCACAGAUUAGCAACAACAUGUAUUUCAUUGGUGGUUCUUAAUAAACAUUAAAUUAGGCCAGGUGCAGUGGCUCACACCUGUAUUCCCAGCACUUUGGGAGGCAGAGGAGGGAGGAUCACUUGAGCCCAG
rnacentral:lncRNA from 1 species